rnacentral:rRNA from 1 species
UACCAGCACCCCGAGUGGUCGGGACGAUUAUUGGGCCUAAAGCAUCCGUAGCCGGCUCUACAAGUCUUCCGUUAAAUCCACCUGCUUAACAGAUGGGCUGCGGAGGAUACUAUAGAGCUAGGAGGCGGGAGAGGCAAGCGGUACUUAGUGGGUAGGGGUAAAAUCCGUUGAUCCAUUGAAGACCACCAGUGGCGAAGGCGGCUUGCCAGAACGCACUCGACGGUGAGGGAUGAAAG